GUAGGGAAUCUUCCGCAAUGGGCGAAAGCCUGACGGAGCAACGCCGCGUGAGUGAAGAAGGAUUUCGGUUCGUAAAGCUCUGUUGUUAGGGAAGAAUGAUUGUGUAGUAACUAUACACAGUAGAGACGGUACCUAACCAGAAAGCCACGGCUAACUACGUGCCAGCAGCCGCGGUAAUACGUAGGUGGCAAGCGUUGUCCGGAAUUAUUGGGCGUAAAGCGCGCGCAGGUGGUUUAAUAAGUCUGAUGUGAAAGCCCACGGCUCAACCGUGGAGGGUCAUUGGAAACUGUUAAACUUGAGUGCAGGAGAGAAAAGUGGAAUUCCUAGUGUAGCGGUGAAAUGCGUAGAGAUUAGGAGGAACACCAGUGGCGAAGGCGGCUUUUUGGCCUGUAACUGACACUGAGGCGCGAAAGCGUGGGGAGCAAACAGGAUUAGAUACCCCAGUAGUCC
rnacentral:rRNA from 1 species